rnacentral:rRNA from 1 species
GUGGGGAAUCUUCCGCAAUGGACGAAAGUCUGACGGAGCAACGCCGCGUGAGUGAAGAAGGUUUUCGGAUCGUAAAGCUCUUUCGUUAGGGACGAACGUGCUCUUUGUGAAUAAUGAGGAGUAAUGACGGUACCUAAAUAAGAAGCCACGGCUAACUACGUGCCAGCAGCCGCGGUAAUACGUAGGUGGCAAGCGUUGUCCGGAAUUAUUUGGCGUAAAGCGCGCGCAGGCGGGAUAUCAAGUCUGUCUUAAAAGUGCGAGGCUCAACCUCGUGAGGGGACAGAAACUGGUAUUCUUGAGUGUCGGAGAGGAAAGUGGAAUUCCAAGUGUAGCGGUGAAAUGCGUAGAGAUUUGGAAGAACACCAGUGGCGAAGGCGACUUUCUGGACGAUGUCUGACGCUGAGGCGCGAAAGCUAGGGGAGCGAACGGGAUUAGAAACCCGUGUAGUCC